rnacentral:rRNA from 1 species
AGGGCAAGUCUGGUGCCAGCAGCCGCGGUAAUUCCAGCUCCAAUAGCGUAUAUUAAAGUUGUUGCAGUUAAAAAGCUCGUAGUUGAAUUUCGGGGUCAGCAGGUUGGUCGUGCCAAUGGUAUGCACUGGCCUUGCUGAUUCCUCCCUCUUGAUGAGCCGUAAUGCCAUUAAUUUGGUGUUGUGGGGAAUCAGGACUGUUACUUUGAAAAAAUUAGAGUGUUUAAAGCAGGCAAGCGCUUGAAUACAUUAACAUGGAAUAAUGAAAUAGGACGUUCGAUCCUAUUUUGUUGGUUUCUAGGAUUGACGUAAUGAUUAAUAGGGAUAGUUGGGGGCAUUAGUAUUCAAUUGUCAGAGGUGAAAUUCUUGGAUUUAUUGAAGACUAACUACUGCGAAAGCAUUUGCCAAGGAUGUUUUCAUUAAUCAAGAACGAAAGUUAGGGGAUCGAAGACGAUCAGAUACCGUCGUAGUCUUAACCAUAAACUAUGCCGACUAGGGAUCGGAUGAUGUUAAUUUUUUAAUGACUCAUUCGGCGCCUUACGGGAA